AUUGAACGCUGGCGGCAGGCCUAACACAUGCAAGUCGAGCGGAUGAAGGGAGCUUGCUCCUGGAUUCAGCGGCGGACGGGUGAGUAAUGCCUAGGAAUCUGCCUGGUAGUGGGGGAUAACGUCCGGAAACGGGCGCUAAUACCGCAUACGUCCUGAGGGAGAAAGUGGGGGAUCUUCGGACCUCACGCUAUCAGAUGAGCCUAGGUCGGAUUAGCUAGUUGGUGGGGUAAAGGCCUACCAAGGCGACGAUCCGUAACUGGUCUGAGAGGAUGAUCAGUCACACUGGGACUGAGACACGGUCCAGACUCCUACGGGAGGCAGCAGUGGGGAAUAUUGGACAAUGGGCGAAAGCCUGAUCCAGCCAUGCCGCGUGUGUGAAGAAGGUCUUCGGAUUGUAAAGCACUUUAAGUUGGGAAGAAGGGCAGUAAGUUAAUACCUUGCUGUUUUGACGUUACCAACAGAAUAAGCACCGGCUAACUUCGUG
rnacentral:rRNA from 1 species